AUGGUCACAUCACAUUGAAAUCCUAGUUCCCAUACUGUCACUGAAGUUAAGCAACAUUGAGCCUGAUCAAUACCUAGAUGGGUGACUGUUUGGAAAUACCAGGUGCUGUAA